UACGGGGGGAGCAAGCGUUGUUCGGAUUUACUGGGCGUAAAGGGCGCGUAGGCGGUCAGCACAAGUCAAUUGUGAAAUCUCCGAGCUUAACUCGGAAAGGUCAACUGAAACUGUGCGACUAGAGUGCGGAAGGGGCAACUGGAAUUCUUGGUGUAGCGGUGAAAUGCGUAGAUAUCAAGAGAAACACCUGCGGCGAGGCGGGUUGCUGGGCCGACACUGACGCUGAAGCGCGAAAGCCAGGGGAGCGAACGGG
rnacentral:rRNA from 1 species